CUUUGUGUUUUGGGCUAUCCAAGAUUGUUAGAGCAAUUUUUCUAUCCAAACUGGGUUCAGAAGUCAUGACUGAAACUAGACUGGGUCCAGGAUUUGACUGAAUCUGAUAAUUGACUGGCGUGGAUCCAGAUAGAGUCCUUGGAUAUCUGACUGGGUUGCAGACAGAAAUUGGAAGCAAUGGCAGUACUGCAGGAGGUAGGGAAAAAAGUCAUUGACUAAGUUGAUCAAGGGAAUCCAAAAGCCAAAGCCAAGAUUCAAUGUAAAAUGAGUUUCUUAGUUUCUGGAAAACUGCAUACUCCAUCUUCUGGCUACAUCUACCUACAUACGAGUGAGGAGCUGAGGAGCUUGAGCAAGAUCAUGCAGCUGGUGAAAGAGUCAGAGCUGGUGUCUCCAACAGAUCUUCCAGAGCCAAGAAUCUAGCACCCUGUUUUCUAUACAAUGGCCAAUUCCAUCGAAAUCCUCAUUACAGGAUUUUCACUCUCCAGAGCAGGGUCUUCAGCAAGCCCAUUACUUAAGAACAUUCUGGUUCCUGAAGGGCCACUACUCAUUCAAUAACAAAGUUCAGAAUAAACAAAUCCAGAGAAUAACA
rnacentral:lncRNA from 13 species